GACGAACCACACAAACGUUAUUCGGAAUUACUGGGCUUAAAGGGUGCGUAGGCGGCGUGGAAAGUUGGGUGUGAAAUCCCUCAGCUUAACUGAGGAACAGCGCCCAAAACUACCAUGCUCGAGGGAGAUAGAGGAAUGCGGAACUUAGGGUGGAGCGGUGAAAUGCGUUGAUAUCCUAGGGAGCACCGGUGGCGAAAGCGGCAUCCUGGACCGACACUGACGCUGAGGCGCGAAAGCUAGGGUAGCAAACGGG
rnacentral:rRNA from 1 species